UUUUCUAUUGGCUACAUAGCCAGAUGGUCUGACGUCACCACCACGCCAAAUCUUUCCCAUUGUGUUAUAAACAUGGCGAACCAGCUAACAAAACCUGCACUAAACUUUGGCCGGAUGCUGACUAUGUAGUCGGCCUCAUCGCUCCUGAAAUGAGCAGGAGAGAGACCUUCAGGACUGCCAUAGUCAGAAACUUUAAGGACUUUGUUCAAGAUGUGGAAACUGCAGGAGGAAUGGAGGAAGAGGCAGUGCACAGUGAACUUGGAGGAGAGGAAGAAGAUGGACACGCGGAGCCAUCCAGUCUAACAGUUUUCACUGUUUCCCUAAAGUUAUGCCAUGGGUCGGGGACACAAGUAUUUUAUACAAAUACUUUUUAAAUGUAGGCCUUACAGACACUCACUGUAAAUAAGACAAAUAAAACCCAAUAUUUUACCCUUUUAACCACCAUACAGCAAAGUGGCACAUCCCAAAUUAUGCUGAGCUGCAUGUCACCAGUCUAUGGUCCAUGUGUCUGUCAUGGUGCAUUGUCCAGAAACAUGCAUAUAUUUUCCAUAAAAUGUUAGAAUUUUCAAACUAAUAUUCAUUGGGACGGCAGAUAAAAAGUAAUCACUUACAUGUGAACACAGAAUCCUACUCAUUACUCCACCUGCUCAAUUGCAUCACUUGUUUUUGUUACGUAUUGUAUCGCAUGACAUUCUGUUGAUUUAUUUCUAUUUGAAGGUUUAUUUUCUGUCAAAAGGAUUACCUUUUCCCAUAGUUAAAAAAAAUAAUAAUUCACUUAAUGACUACAGCUUUUUGUAUUCAAACACUUCCAUUUUAGACUACAUUUUAGUCAUUUAAAUAAAUGUUGUCCAUAGUGUGGUGGUAGAAUUUGAGGUGAGCUGGUCUGUAGCCUAUUCUGUGUUGAACUGUGAUUUGCCUCUCAUAGAUUCUUGGUAUGUCUGCACCCUAACACAAUGCAAUUCUGUUCUGGAACUGUUGCUUGUAUAAAUAACUUGUGUAGCAAUAGGAUUGUAUUCUCUCACUAUAUAAGGGGCAUGUAACCAUUUACUCUGAGCUCUUCCCAGUGAAAAUCAGAGAUCUCCCCUGCAGCUCCUUGAUUAAAGAUGUUUCUAUUAUACAAUUAAA